UACGUAGGGUCCGAGCGUUGUCCGGAAUUACUGGGCGUAAAGAGCUCGUAGGUGGUUUGUCGCGUUGUUCGUGAAAACUCACAGCUCAACUGUGGGCGUGCGGGCGAUACGGGCAGACUUGAGUACUGCAGGGGAGACUGGAAUUCCUGGUGUAGCGGUGGAAUGCGCAGAUAUCAGGAGGAACACCGGUGGCGAAGGCGGGUCUCUGGGCAGUAACUGACGCUGAGACGCGAAAGCGUGGGGGAGCGAACAGG
rnacentral:rRNA from 1 species